UACAGAGGUCCCGAGCGUUGUUCGGAUUUACUGGGUGUAAAGGGAGCGUAGGUGGUUCGGCAAGUCAGAUGUGAAAGCCCGGGGCUCAACCCCGGGACUGCAUUUGAAACUGUCGGGCUUGAGUGCGGAAGAGGCGAGUGGAAUUCCUGGUGUAGCGGUGAAAUGCGCAGAUAUCAGGAGGAACACCAAUUGCGAAGGCAGCUCGCUGGGACGUUACUGACGCUGAGACGCGAAAGCGUGGGGAGCAAACAGG
rnacentral:rRNA from 1 species